GUUUAAGUGUUGUACACCAAGAGUUUCUUGUGCUACCAGCAGUGUCGUUUCUUUUAGCUUGAGGAACUCCAGGUUCUAUCCUUCAGCUCUCUCAUACUCGGAUGAAUAAUGGUAGCUCAUCGCCUUCAAGAACUGUUUCUGAAUUGAUAUGUGGAUGUCAGCCUCAGCCCUUCGAUAAGGAUCUCGGAAGAUCUGAUGAAUUCUUUACUAGCUUAGUCAUCACCGUCGAUGUGCAUGAAGAGACAUCGCUGCCAAUGAUCAGAUACUUCCCGUGCAAACAAUUUGACAAAAACUCAUCGUCGAAAUAACUG